GGUGGCUCAGUGGUAGAGCGCUUGCCUUGCGUGCAUGAGACCUUGGGUUUGAUUCCUCAGUACCA
rnacentral:tRNA from 1 species